AUGCACAAGGGUGGGGAGAGGAGCAUGGGUUUAUACACGGGUGGGGAGAGGAGCAUGGGUUUAUACACGGGUGGGGAGAGGAGCAUGGGUUUAUACAAGGGUGGGGAGAGGUGCAUGGGUUUAUACAAGGGUGGGGAGAGGAGCAUGGGUUUAUACACGGGUGGGGAGAGGAGCAUGGGUUUAUACAAGGGUGGGGAGAGGUGCAUGGGUUUAUACAAGGGUGGGGAGAGGAGCAUGGGUUUAUACACGGGUGGGGAGAGGAGCAUGGGUUUAUACAAGGGUGGGGAGAGGAGCAUGGGUUUAUACACGGGUGGGGAGAGGAGCAUGGGCUUAUACAAGGGUGGGGAGAGGAGCAUGGGCUUAUACAAGGGUGGGGAGAGGAGCAUGGGCUUAUACAAGGGUGGGGAGAGGAGCAUGGGCUUAUACAAGGGUGGGGAGAGGAGCAUGGGCUUAUACAAGGGUGGGGAGAGGAGCAUGGGCUUAUACAAGGGUGGGGAGAGGAGCAUGGGUUUAUACAAGGGUGGGGAGAGGAGCAUGGGUUUAUACAAGGGUGGAGAGAGGAGCAUGGGUUUAUACAAGGGUGGGGAGAGGGGCAUGGGUUUAUACACGGGUGGGGAGAGGAGCAUGGGCUUAUACAAGGGUGGGGAGAGGAGCAUGGGCUUAUACAAGGGUGGGGAGAGGAGCAUGGGCUUAUACAAGGGUGGGGAGAGGAACAUGGGCUUAUACAAGGGUGGGGAGAGGAGCAUGGGCUUAUACAAGGGUGGGGAGAGGAGCAUGGGCUUAUACAAGGGUAGGGAGAGGAGCAUGGGUUUAUACAAGGGUGGGGAGAGGAGCAUGGGCUUAUACAAGGGUGGGGAGAGGAGCAUGGGCUUAUACAAGGGUGGGGAGAGGAGCAUGGGCUUAUACAAGGGUGGGGAGAGGAGCAUGGGCUUAUACAAGGGUGGGGAGAGGAGCAUGGGUUUAUACAAGGGUGGGGAGAGGAGCAUGGGUUUAUACACGGGUGGGGAGAGGAGCAUGGGCUUAAACAAGGGUGGGGAGAGGAGCAUGGGCGUAUACAAGGGUGGGGAGAGGAGCAUGGGUUUAUAUACGGGUGGGGAGAGGAGCAUGGGCUUAUACAAGGGUGGGAAGAGGCGUAUGGGUUUAUACAAGGGUGGGUAG
rnacentral:lncRNA from 1 species